GAAUGGAACCAGUGCUUCUUGGCAAGAUUGGUGCGUGCUAAUGUGAUUUCCUGCUGCUUCAGCGCAAGCGUUGCAGUGGGCUUUGAUCAGGACGCGCGUGUUGUUUCUUGCCUUGUGUGUCAACGUCAGUUCUCGAUCGAGGAAAACGCCAGGGACAUGGUAACUCGCCCCCGGGUGUGUGAAUGUGCUUGGUUGAACUCAUUUGUGAACUGGUUCUUGCGUGUCUGGUUGCAGUGCCCUGCAUCCCUGUGACUCCGUGGGGAGCUCUCGCUCCUUUCAUGGUUGGAGCGGGUGAUCAGGACAUCUCCCUGACACAACGACGCUGACUAAAUGGUUCUAUUCGACCCGUCUUGAAACACGGACCAAGGAGUCUAACAUAUGUGCGAGUUCACGGGCGGGUAAACCUGCUUGCGCAAUGAAAGUGACUGCUGGGAUCUUUGCACCAGCAACCGACCAUCAUUGAGAGAGGUUUGAGUAUGAGCAUAUCUGUUGGGACCCGAAAGAUGGCUCCUAUG
rnacentral:rRNA from 1 species